UAGCGAAACAGCCAUUUCCCUGAUGCCGGGGAAAUGGUGGUCAUCAGGGUGUGGCGGCCCUGGUCUGAAGAGCAGCCAGAA
rnacentral:hammerhead_ribozyme from 2 species